GCAUGUAGUUCAUAUACAUCAUCUUCUUUAGUAUAACUUGUGCACACUGUGUCCUUUUGCUUCCUCUAUUAAUCCACAUGUUUACUUGCUAAAUUCAUCAUAAUAGGUAUACAGUUGUCGGUCGAUCAUUUUUCUCAACUGAUUUAGGGUUUAAAGGUGCACUUGGUGACGGUUUAGAAUACUGGAGAGGAUAUUACCAGUCUCUAAGACCUACACAAUUUGGGCUCUCACUCAAUAUAGACGUGUCGGCUAGAGCUUUCUAUGAGCCAAUUCUUGUUACUGAGUUUGUUGAGAAACACUUCCACCGAGAUAUGUGGAGCCCGUUGUCUCAGCAGGACUAGAUAGCUUUCUUUGUCAUUGCCAUUGAGGUUUGGUUCUCAAUGUAGGGAUGGGGUUAGUGAAGGUCAAUUCUCUCGAGUUCUUCUCUAUGAAAUGGAUGCGAUUCGCCAGGCUUGUGCCUCACUUGAAGAGGGUUAUUUGCCACCGGUAACCUUCAUUGUGGUGCAAAAGAGGCACCACACGCGCCUCUUUCCUGGAGAUUAUGGAGAU